rnacentral:SRP_RNA from 1 species
CAGCACGGCAGCGGGGUCCUGACCGACCACAACGGCAGGGAGUUCCGGGGCGUCUUCAAGCAGGGCAAGUUGGAGCGGUGGGUCGACAGCUGACCCGUGGCCUCCAUCUGC